rnacentral:lncRNA from 1 species
AUUGGCUGCCCACCCUCUGAAAAGCGACUGAGUCCUUGAGUCUCCUGGGAUGUUCAUAUGAAUCCCCUUGAAGCUUUAAUUUGAUAAGACCUCAGUGGAGACUGCUGAACCCCUGGGAUUUAACAUCAUAUAUUAUUCAUUGUUGCUGUUGCCACAGACGUGCUGAUUUUGCCCCUGCUGAGCAAGGCACUUCUGCACAUGGGAACUUGAUGGCUAACCACACUGCAUGUUCUUCAGGCAGGGCCUAUCCCAGAACGUUCCAAGCUGUCUGCUAGCAAGUCUGCAUUAACUCCCUCAAUGCUGCAUGCACGGUGUCCCUGAGUCCUUCACCACCCGCCCCGCCACCAGAGCCAGUCUUUUUAAGAAUUUUGCCUGGGCUGUGUUUUUCAAAGUGCCUCUCUCUAGUGUGCAUCUCUUCUUAAUCACAGAAAGCAGAUCUGAGAGCUUCUAAUGCACUUCUCUAUUACUUCAAGAACACUGUGUAUAAUAAUAAACUCUACAGAAAUAAACCAAAUCACAAGAAGCUUUCAGGUCUGGAGGCUGACAUUUCUCAAGACAGAUGCAAAAACCCAGGCCCAGAGAGAUGAAGAAACCUGGCUAAGGUAACAUGUAAGUUAGUGUCAAAAUCAGGAUAAAACCCAGAUCUUCUGACUCUUAGUAUAGCUCUCUUUUUACCCAGCCACACUGCCUGUGUCCCUGGGACUGUUAGUAAAAUAACAGGUGAGCUGGACCCCCUUUUUGAGAUGACUGGGUAUGUUUACUGUCUGGGUCAGAUCAGUCAAGUACUCUGAGUCUAGGGUUGUUCCUAGAACAGAAGCUGGGGUUGAUGAGCAUUUGUGAGUAUUGGAGAAGGAGUGAGGGGGAGAAGCCUCACACGCAAACCCAGGCCCUGGUUUCAAUUUCGUGUAUGAGAUUACCUGAGAACGGAAUGCAAGUAACAGGCAAAUAAUUGACAUCUCAAACCUAACUGUGUAUGCAUCCUGAGUAGCUAAUAGUGAGCUGUUCACUACUAAUGCUGUGUGUAGGUUCAUCCCAAAGACAGGCUGAUCCACACAUAGACAGGCUGGUCCUAUGAUUAAGGAGUGUGAGCUGGCAUUCCCUUUAUCAGGACAAAGAUAGGUUCUGCUUCCUCUGGAUAGUCUUCAGGCAAAGCUUUACUUAUGGCCUUGCAAAUAACCCAUGGUCUCUUGGUCGAUGAACAAAAUAGCAGUAAAGAAGAUGAAUUCUCCUUAUUUAUCUUCAGUUUUCUCCCUGGAGUGAAAGUGAGGGUUAUUCUCUGGUAUAUUAGAAAAAUAGUACAUUAUACUACCUAAUGGGUUUCAGUCUGACUCAAAAUGAAAGGAUAACAGGAAAUGGGGUGCUGUUUUGCUGAGUAGCUGAGAUAGCCUACCUUAUUAAUUCUAAGUAUGUCUCUAUUUUCCCUUUCCAAUGCUUCUUGGUUUCUUAGCCAUUUCUAAAUCCCCUUUCCCCAUGUGCAGCAUGGUGUGGGUAGAGAUAGGAAUAAGAAGCGGCUAAUUCUUACCUUACAAGAAAAAUAACUUGGCAGUCAAGAGAAAAUUGACGGCAACAGUCUUUGCAAACAGCAUUCGUAGCCCAAGCACUGUGAGGGACAUCAUGUUCACCUUCUCGGUAUGAACUAUGGCUGAAAAAGAGUGAAGAGGGUGGCUUCAGGGAGAGAUUAAAUUCCCUUCCAGAAAUUGGGCCUGCAACACUGAUAUUAGCCUGCCCCAAGUCUGCCUAGUUCUUUCUGGCCUGCAAGUCCAGCAUGGUGCCAGAUAGCCGUCAGAGACCUUAGGCUGCUGCUGACACCCAGCCAGGCAAGCUUGGGAAACCGAUGCCGACAGCCAGGUAAGCCUUGCUGGGAGAGUCAGAGGCUCUGCAGAACCAACUGGGCUCAGCAUGGUUUGUGUUUUCUUUUGAAAUCUGAUACAUUUUGGCCCCAGUGGACAAUUACAGAGUUUGCUUUAACCCUUGAUUCUGAAGUUGGCCCUUUGAUUUGAACUAACCUUUGGGUUUAUGGCAGCUCUUUGAAGGUUGCUUUGUGUUUUCAGUUUCCUUUGGUUUUACGUGAUCUGGAACAAACAGCAGUGGUCAGGGUUACAUUGGGAAUGAAGAGGCUCACAGGAUUGUAGGCUUUUAAAACUGGAGGAGACUUUGGGUGAGUGAACUGAGGACCAGAGGAUGUGACUUGGUGAAGGUCACAUAGCUAAUUAUACAACAUGCUUCCCAUUCUAGCCUUUUUCAUUGUACCAUGAGGUCAACAUCCAGGCACACCAAUAUGCGGGAAGAACUAGGAUUCUUAGCCCCACAAUAGGCCGCAUUGCCCUUUGUUGGAAUUUAGCACUGGAUUAGAAUGCACGAGGACUUUCAAUCCCAGAGUCUAGUAUGAAGGGGACAGUGGUAGGUAAAGAGGAGAGAUGAGGAAGAAAUAAGAUGGGCUUUAUUUUAGAUUCCAUCUUAGGGAUGACAAGCAUUUCCCUCCCCUGCCAAUGGCAGGCUAUAGUUGGGCCUAAGUCUUAUUUCCAGCAUGAUGCUAUACUGAGAAUGAUUUGUCCACAGUUACAUCUCUAACUUCCCUUUCACCCAAUUCUUGUUCCCCAUAAUCUCCAGCUCCUUGAAGCUAGAAAUGGCCUACCUGUAGAAUCUGUCUUCACUUCAAAGUCAGUGGAGUGCACAGUUUUAUUGUCGUGUUGAACUGAACAUGUCACUGAAUUUGAAUCUUCAUAUUUACCAAGCUUGACAGCAUUGUACUUCCCACUGGGAGAGAUGACAAUAGCAGGAUCAAACUCUGUUAUCUUCUUGGAUGACACGAGAUUUAUUCUUAUAUCCUUGGGGUAGAAUUCCUUCACCAGACAAGCGACAUUUGUUCCAUUUUUCAUGACAAAAACGGAUGGUUUGGUAUGAGGCUGACUUCCUGCAAAUAUAAUCAACUUAUUAGGUGAGAUGAUUAUUCACAACUUUGUGGGGGUUAAACAGUGGUGAUUACCUCGAUUACCCUGGAGCCAAACACUACAAUCCAGACCUCCAUGCAUCCUGUUAGUGACCUGGGCUUAUUACCACCUCUGUGAAAGGACAGGCAAGGGGAGCAGAAAUGAAAGGCAGUAAGUUUGACUUCCAGUUAGGAGCUGCUAGGAGAUAGGGCUGGAAGCACAGAUGGAAAAUGACAACUACAAAGAAGUUUCUGGAUCAUCUGGGUUUCGAUUAUCUGUGGCUUUUUUCUUUUUCUUUCUUUUUUUUCUUUUUCUUUUUUUUUGAGAUAGAGUUUCACUCUUGUUGCCCAGGCUGGAGUGCAAUGGUGCAAUCUCGGCUCACUGCAACCUCCGCCUCCCGGGUUCAAGUGAUUCUCCUGCCUCAGCCUCCCGAGUAGCUGGGAUUACAGGCAUGCAUCACCAUGCCCAGCUAAUUUUUUUUAUUUUUAGUAGAGAUGGGGUUUCUCCAUGUUGGUCAGGCUGGUCUCGAACUCCCGACCUCAGGUGAUCCGCCCACCUUGGCCUCCCAAAGUGCUGGAAUUACAGGUGUGAACCACUGCAUCCAGCCGAUUAUCUGUGUUUUAUUAAUCAAUCCUCUGGACAAUCUAGGUCAGGCUGAAUAUCUCUCUGCACCAGUUGGUUUUUUGUAAAUGCAUGGGCCCUUGGAUGGUAGAUCAGGGCAGGUGCUCAUGCUAUGCAUUCUGUCACUUAAAGAAUCGAGGGUCUGAGAAGGACUGCAUAACUGGCUCAGAGGUUCUGAGGAUGGCAGUGUUGGGGUCCCGGAAGGGUGCCAUCCCUUCCAGAUCUGCUGGAAAGGGUGGAAAGGGAUCUGCUGAAGGUAGGUGGUACAUGUUUCUGCCUUUAGGUGAAUACUCAUUCUUCUGUAGGGGACUGACUACUGUAUAGUUUCCUUUGAGUCUUUAAUCAGAGGAUAACAAUGAUCAUUUUCAGGAAGUCCUUAAAGAAAUAAAACCAAUUGAAGCCCGUUCAUUCUUGUUUUAAUCUAAGAGGAACUGUGGAAUGUUGGUCCCAGGAUUGGCUUCCCUCCUGGCCUUCUCUUCUUUUGUGCCUCACUUUGGACUACCACCCUGUACAUGCAUACUUUUCUUUCCUUAAGACCACAAGUCUUGAAGCUUUGAGAGAGGUAGUGAUGAUUCUUUCACACAGUGCCUCACUGAAGUUUUUGAAUUGUGAUAAAUGUUGUGUCCAUGGGGACUUAAAUUCUUAGGCUAUCUUCAAAUAACUGUUAAAGAAAGAGCCCUGUUAAUACCUGAAACCAAGAAACACAACCAACCUGUGAAUGAUGAUCAAGAUACAUUUUUCAAUCCUAAAUUUAAUGCUGACUUUUAAUAUUAAUUGCUCCUGUAAAUUUGGCCCUUAGUAUUUGAAACUUAGGUGAAUUUUGCUUCUUGAUAUCAAAUGAAAAAUACAUUGAAUUCCAGUGUACUUUUACCUACUAUGGUCUAUAAUCAAGACAUUAGGUGUUGCUGAACAGAAAGUUGGUAAUGAAUGUGUAAAUGGAAAAUAAGUAAUUUUCCUUUUCCUUUUUUUUUUUUUUUUUUGAGACAGGGUCUUUUCCACCCAGGUUGGAGUGAAGUGGCCCAAUAUCAACUCAUUGCAACCUCUGCCUCCUGGCUCAGACUCUCCUCCAGCCUCAGUCUUCCGAGUAGCUGGGACCACAGGUGCACACCACCACACCUGGCUAAUUUUCUGUAUAAAAAUAAAUAAUUUUUCUAAUGCUUUAUCCUGAAUCUGAAUUUGGGCUUCAGCUGUGAGGUUCACAGCAGCAGAGCUACUGCCAGAUCAACUGGUUAUAUCUGGUUGAGAGGGGGCGAUUGCUAGUCAGGAAGUUUCUGCUGAUCACGGCUUUGUAAAUGGACCAAAGUUGAUCAUGGUUUUCCUAGAAAAUCAACUAUUCAGAGAAACCCCCCAUCACUACCAUCAUCAUUCUCCCCGUUUCCUCUGCUGAGAAGCUCAACUAAAAGACUGAUUCUGUUUCAGUCACUCAGGGCAGGAAACUUAUUCCUAAGAAUCUGGUUCCUUAUGUUUUUGGCUUUAGUUCUAGACAAUUGAAAGGAUUAGACAUUUUUCAAAGGGCUUUCUUGGAACCUGCUUUCAACCUGCUUGAGAAAACUUCCCCUGUUUGGUUUCCUUGCAUAGCUGAAGCCACUUGAUAACAGAAAGUGAUAACUCUAGCAUUAACGGUUGGAAACCACAUGCAUUGCUCACUCACCUCCCUUCAUAAGUGCAACACUUCUUGCUCACUAUCUUGACUUUGGUUUGAGACAUACUCUGGCUGACUUUCAAGGGAGUUACAAGUUACAAAAGAAACUUGUCCAUAAAAUAAACACCCUAUCUCCUUGUUUAUUUAAGAGUAUCUCUUAAUCCUGGUCUGAUUUAGUUGGAUAAUUAAGGCUUGCUAGAAUUUUAAAAGCUAAAUUCAUCAGGCAGUUGUCAAAUCAUCACUUUGGGCUGGGGAGAUUGGGUUUGAGUAAUUUGAAUAAUACAAUAUAACUGAAAAGACAGAUGUCUGAAGAAGGUCAUGCACUUAUGAUAUUGUGCUCUGACUCUGUUAGUCAGCAUUUCAGAUAGAGCAUAAUACAUUGAUUUGAUAAAACAUUUUUCUGAAUCCCUCUUUCUACAUUAAUGUUUAUAUUUUCAAAACGAUUGUUUGAAAGAAAGUGUCUUAUAGAAUCCAUUGUUUGGCAUCUUGGUAACCAAAGAAAUGGGUGUCUGACUGAAUUAAACCUUUUUAAAAACUGGAGUGCACUCAAUAUAGUUGCCAUAUGCAUCCUAGUCUAUUUUGUAUUUGACUUAAACCCAGACGUGAAGCUGUAUGAAAUUGUAGUCCAGAAUUUAGAUUAAAGAUUUAAUCGUUUAUCUUUGAAGAACUUGUAGUCUUUUUUUCUUAGUCCACAAAUAUAAUUACAUUGCAACAUGUGUUUCAAGUGUUAUUUCUUUGGAAAAUUGCUUUAUUGUCAGACUUUCUCUUUUUAUGAACACCAAUACAUUGCUAAGUUUAUGUGCUGGUAAACAAUACCAAAAAAGUGUGUACCAUUCCUGAACAGUCUUUCUUAAUUUAUAAACUUAGAAGUCACCUAUGUUUUAGAUUCUCAUAGCUAGUCCUACUGAUCCCCUAAGAAUUGCAACAACUGUAAUAAAUGUCACUCAGAAUUUCAAGACUUUCUGCCAAUAUGGGAUUUAACUUAAACCCUGAAAUAAAAGUUUGUUCUACCUAAUUACUCUGACCAUGCUAACUACCUUUCUCCAGAAUCUUCCAAGCUGUAGGACACUUGUUUUCAGUUUGCAAGGAGGCACGCAUACUAGUUAGCUUAGCCAAAGGGAUGUGCAGAGAUGAAGCAGCUUCCUGAGGAAUUGGGGCUGAAGUAUCCCUCCCACUGUCUCCCUUGCACCUGAAUGCUCCAACUCUUAGUGUAGUUCUUCUAGAUUUCUUUGUGUUUUUUGGGCUGCUCUGAAGAUUUCAGAAAUAAAUGGGAGCUAUUGUUUUAAUAUAGAGUAUAUAUAUUAAAAUAAAUAGAGUUACAGAGCUACUUAAGUGACUCAGUCUAGUGUGUUCACUCUGGCCUAUUUCACAUCUGUAAUACUCUGUCUCCUUGUUAUAAUUUCAUUUACUAGUUAUAAUUUAUAAUGCAAACUGGAUUGCAGCCCCAGUGCCAGGACUCAAAUUAUCCCAGAAAUAUAGGAAAAAGAUCAACUCACGGGGCUCCACGAAGAGUUUGAUGCCAGUUCCGAAAAACAUCUGUCGGGUGUCCCAGGAGCACAUUAUGACAGUGCCUCACAGGUAACUAGCCUGGAGCUGGCCCUGGGGCCUGAGCUGUAACAUCUGUGCCCUGCCUCCCCAGCCUCAGUUCUCAGCCUAGAGACCCCACAGCUCAGAGAACUACAAAGCUGCUCUUGAUGAGACCAAGGGGCUGAGUACACAGAGUCUCAGUUCCCUUUGAAGCUAAUAAUAGUUGAACUGCUUGAUAGAGAUGUGAGGGUGAUAUCCCCAUCCAAGAGAUACUAGGGCAGGGCUGAGACAGAGCAAGAGAAGAGGGUGGCAGGUGACAAAUAGCUGCCUUCAUGAUGGAAAAUCUAACUUCCAGUUUAUUGAGAGGGGCAUCCAAGAAGAACACAAUAGCUUGAGGGUAGGGAUGGGGCACUUAACUUGACCUUUCUUACAACAAAUGUUAGGUUGAGGAGAGGAGGGUUAUAGAAAGAGUUUCCAUUCUUAUUAUACUCUGGUUCCAUUCUCUUGGGUCACAAGUACAGAAUUUUGAUUAGAAACCUAAUUUCCCCCAUCACUCAGACUGAGUCUCACAAUAAUAACGAACCUGCUUUCUAAUUCCCUGAGCUUGGCGAAAGGCUUUCUAAGGACCUGAGGGUUGAACAAGAAAUUGGUCACUGCUCAGGGAGCCCACUGGUGCUGUGUGUCAUGGACACAGGUCAGAGAAGCCAGUGCUUGCUUUGCAUUGCUUAUUUUUGUUUUAUAAUUUCUCCUGACUCUGGAUCCAGAUAUAAGUUUCAGGAGUAUAUAGUCAUCAUGUGCAAUGUAACAUAAAGACCAUGUGAAUUACUCUGCCUCAUCACCAAAAAUCAAGAUCGUUGGGCUAGAGCCAGGCAAAAGAGAAUGACAGUUGUGUAGGGCCAUUAUUCACUGUCAAAGCUUUAAGGACUUGGGGUUUGAUUUGAAAAUUUUCACAUCCCCUACCUGAGCUUCACAUCAUCAUAUUACAUUUCACCACUGCAGGAGAAGAAAACCAGAGAAGCGAAUGGAGUGUCAUCGGGGAGCAUGGUCAGCAUCCUGGCAGAGGGGCUAAGCAUCAGUUUCAUCAAUUUCCUUCUUCCCUAAGACUCCCAAAGGCACAGCCUCAAAGAUUUGAUUCUAACACUGCAGAUAAUUCCAAAUUUCAAGUGGAAAUGAUUUUAGGGGAAAAUGAAACACAGUAGUUUUUGCUCAGAUGCAAUUUGCUAAACAUCAAUCAGACUACAAUCAGCUACGACAUGAUUCUGUUUCCCUCCUUUUCAGUGCUCUAGUCUCUCUCCCCUCAAAGAUAAGAAAACUCACCAAAUUCUACCAUUUCCCUGGAGGCAACAGGCAGUGGAGAAUCCCUAUAAGUUUAUAUUAUUCUCUGAGAGGCAGAGACCAUGUUGACAGCACCAGUCACUUUUUGGACUUUUGGUCAGAUAGCCUAGCCACAUUCAUGUACCAUUCCCUACUUAUUUAUUUCCUCUGAAUAAACAAAAUCAAUACCUAAUCAUGUAAGAGGUAAUGGCUCUCCCAAUGGACUUGGCAUUUUGGAAGGUGUCUGAAGGCUAUUCUCUGGACUGGUCUUAGUGAUUGACUGUUGGCAGCUACCCAAACUACCAGAAUAUAGCCCCUGGAUUUCCAAACAUUGGAGUAGGCUACCAGUAGACAAUGUCUCCAGUAGGGGACCACGACUUCUCUAUUGUCCUGGAGUUGGUGGCUGUGUUUCUACAUUGGAUACAGGCUCCUGAACCAUUGUGCAAAGUUCCCAGUUUCAGGGCUAACAGGAGAGGUGAGCUCAUAACUGCUCUCAGCAGACCCAGGCCAGGAUGGGACCUUGAGAACCAUUUAAUCUGAACCAUUUAUGUUGGUUUAAUGCAAGUUCAGAAAAAAGUGACAAGGGCAAGAUUGGCUUCUUAUCCAGAGAGAGAGAGAGAGAGAGAGAGAGAGAGAGGAGAGAAAGAUCCUCUUUUUAAAACUCCUUCUUUCGUAAUACUUUUUUCUUUCUAACCUUCCCUCUUCCUACACUGUGACCAUGACUUUUAUCCCUCAUAAAUACUGGAGAGACCCUCCUCAACCACAGCUUGCCUUUUUCCUGGUUCUAGGGAGCCCAAAACUAAAAGCCUGACCUAGGGCUUUUUUUCAGUAGUUGUAAAAAACUUAUGAAUACCAAGCCUCAGAAUGGAGUUUCCAAGCAUAUACAGAAUAUUUUCUUAAGAGAAAUCUAAUGCAUUUGCUCCCAAAUUUUACCCCUACUGUUUGCAACAAACAAUGGGUUUCUAAUUUGGAACUCUUUACUUCCCAAGAAGCCCCAUUCAUUCAGGACUACGCUACAACAACCCUAAAGAAAUAUACACACUGAGCUGUAGUAAAAUGCAUAACUUACCUGGUUCCACGAUGAGUUGUGUUCCCUUUCCAAAGAAGAGUUGUGCUGUCAAAGCACUACCACAGGCAUCAUUACGAAAAACCUUGCUACCUAUUUGCUCCCUGUCAGUCUAAUUCAUCUGUUUGGAAGUGGGUGGGUGGAGCAGAAUGGGUGUAGCUGGAGACAGAGCUUUGCAAGGGUUUCUGAGAUCUGAGCAUUAUAUUUUGGCAGCUUUUUUGAUGUCUGCUAUCUUCUGAGUUUUGACACUUAGGCAAGUCCUUAGAUUUUCUGCUAUUAUCUCCUCAACCUGCCAUCUCUUACUCCCAGAUCUUGCUUCAGGAUAACAUUUUCACAUAUUUUGCUGAGAAUUGCCAAAUGGCCGUUGUAGGCAGAAACGUAACAACAAGCCUCAACUAAAUCAAUCACAACAGGACUGUGCCUCAGCGAGAGGUGGAAGGACACAAUGGUUGGAGCAAGAGCCAUUGAUGCAAAAGACUUGGGGUCUAUCCAAAGGACUAUAAUAAUCACAGAUGACUAUGAUUUGUAUAAAUACUUUCCUACUUAAACAGCUGGUGUUUAUACUACUUCAACAAAGUUAUUGAAAUAAACUCUAUGAGGUGAUAUUUUUAGAUCCAUCUCACAGACAAAGGCACUGUAAAGGUGGUUAAGUGAGUGGCUGAGUUGGGCUUCACUCAAUUUCCAGUUUCCAGCCCCUGAACCAGAGUAAUAGAUGGUAGGACUGAAAGGAGCCUCAAGGCAUCAUUUUUCCAAACCUCUGUGAUCACACAAGGGCUAAUUAAGGGAUGCAUAGGGAGAGUUUUCACUCCCUUUCCAGUGCCUUUUUUUUUUUUUCCAUUAAAUCACAGAAUUCCUACUGGGUAAUAGGACAGUCACACCAUUGGGCUUCCUUGCUUUUCCUCCCAAUUGUUCAUAAGAAUUGGUCUGGGGAUAAUCAGGAUCAUAGUGGGCAAGGGCUGGAAGACAGCUUGGAAAUCCUUCAUCUAACUAUAGGGAAACUAUAGUUCAGUGCAGUUAAGUCACAGAGUUUGUCAGCUAAUGCAUUGUCAGUUAAUGCAUUGGACAGAUUGGAACUUGGCCUCUGAUUUACUGGUUCAGCGUGCUCCUCAUUUCACCUUGUGUCCACCCCCCGAAGUGCUGUCAUGUGAGUCUGAUCACAGUGGUGGCCUAGAUCUGUACAUGGUGGAUGCAUAGAUGUUGAGGAGGGUAGCUUUCUGGAGCCAGGUAGAGGGAAUAGAAACUCUCUAGGAAGGACAAUGGAUCAAGACGGCUCACUGAAGCACAGACGCCAUCCUGGAUUUUAUCGGAAACUCAGUUCCUGUUCCUCAAGCCAUCCCUUGCUAUAUUACCUACUGGAGCACUGCUUCCUAACCUGGUGACUUAGAAAAAUAUUUAACAAAUGUAAUUGCCAAACAUAGUGGUCAUAAGAAGGAAAAGUAGGUUACUUACGUUGUUGUACCUCCAGAUAGGUUCCUUUGCCAAAGAUCAGGGGUCUGGCACAGCUGACAUACCUAAUCCAAAAACUACCUUGCUUUUCCCUUUACGGCAACCCUAGCCCCAGUUGCCAAGUCACAUGAUAUUCAUCCCAUGUGAUUUUCUGUCCCAUCUGGCCUAGCCUCUUCUCCUCCGUCUUAGAGGUUGUCCUUCAGGAUGGAACAAGAGGUGACUCUAGCAUCAAAUAGAAAUCCAAGCUUUUGCCCAUAUUACAAUCUGACAGAAUUUGUGCUCAAAUAAGAGAGAAUGAAUAUAGACUGGAAAGAUGUUUUUUGGUUUGAUCAAGAGGAAAGAAGGGUGGAACGUUGGUCAUAGAGCAGUGGUUCUCCACCUUCGGGCUACACUUAGGUGAGGCAGGGACCUAGCAGGUUAUAUAUACCAUGCAUUCCAACCUUUUAGGGGAAAUUUAUUUCAUAUCUGAGAGUUUUGCAUCAUUGCCAAGUAUUGUGCAGCAGCCAAACUGCUUAGUACAAAAUAGAAUUAAGUUUUUCCAUCCAUUUUAAUAACACAUUCAUGCAUAUCAAAUUUUAGCAAGCUUCAAUGACACUCUCACACUUAGAAGUGACAGUUAAAUUAAUUUCUGUUAUACGUGAACAUCAGAAUCUAUGAGAUUGCCUGUAUGUCACUCAUAAAAACCAAGGAGGGAAUAUGGAUUUUUCGGAUCAGUUUACAAUCCUUAAAAGACUGUAGAUGAUAGUUGGAGAAUCACUAACAUGAAGGGUGGUUCCUAGUCGUUGUAAAGUAGAAGGAUGUCAGAAGAUCCAAAACCUAGUUUUGACUCUGUCCCUUUCCAAGUGUGUAAUCUUGGCCAAGUUCCUUAAACUCACUGAGCUUUAUCUGGUUUCUCUACGAAGUGAGGAUAACAUCUUCCGUAUUAUAGGUUAUAAGAUUAGAUACAGCAUCUGUGAACUAGAGAGACUCGAUGUAAUUAUUAGAAUGUUUAUUAGGGCUAAACUCAGAGAAGAUACAUUUUACUAGAAGCGUGGGGAAUGUAAUUGCACUAAGAACAGAGCUCCCAAGCAGGAAGGAUUGUUGGGACAGGUUGCUGAAAAAGAACAGAAGCUAUUUUUUGGUGUUAUGUGAUAUGAAGAGGGUGCCCACUUCUUAGGGCCGUGGGUUAGGACUGGUAUUCAGGUUUCUGUCUCUCUAGAUCUUUUCUCUAGGUUACGUGUGACUUCCAUUCUACUCCCCAAUCUUCCCUUUCGAAUCCAAAAGCAGUAGUCCUUACAGUGGCCUACAAGCCACCCUCUCCCCAACCCAUCACCAAUCUGACCUCAUUUUCACAUUCUCUCCCCAUCACUCCCUCCCCUCCUCCAGCCACACACCCCAGGCAGCCCUGUGUCCCCUCUGCCUGGAAGUGCUCUCUCUCCAGAGGUCUGCAUGCCUCACUUUACCACCUCCUCGGGUCUCUGCUCCACUGUCACCUUUCCAGUGAGACCUUCUGUGACUCUUCUGUUUAAAACUGCAUGCUGGUCCCUCCCACUAGUCCUCUUUAUUCUCCUUCCCGGCUUUAUUUUUCUUCUCAGGGCUUAUUACCACCCUAACGCACUGUAUAUAUUUUUUAUUUAUUUAUUUAGUUUACCAUCUGUCUUUUGCCAUUAGAAAAUAAGCUCCAAUAUGGCAGAAGUUCAUGCCUGCUUUGUUCAUGUCGAUUCCCUGGCACCCAGAACAGUGCCUGGCACUUCGUGGCAGAGACCUGUGAUGGGUUGCAGAGCCAGGACUCAGGCUCGGCUCUGUAGGUUACCAGCUUCCCUUCAUUUUUCUUUUCUUUUGCUUUAUACCAUAGCUGACUUUUUCUCUGAUUCAUUCAUUCCUUUAUUUAUUCAUUCACUCAUUCAACAAAUGUUUGUUUAGUGCUUUCAGUGUACUUAUAGGUGCAGUAAGAAACAACUCAAAGUCCUUUCUCUCACAGAGCAAGGGAAACAGACAGUAAACGAGCAUAUAAAGAUUCAAGUAGACAUGAGGGCUAUAAAUAAAGCAGGGAAAGGGGUCUUCAGAGUGACAUGAGGUGGUAGGGAAAGGAUUCACUGGAAAUGACAUUUGAGUGGAGACCUGGAGGAGGGGAGGGAGAAAACUGUGUGAGUCCCUGGGAGAAAAUGGCUCCAGGUGGAAGGACUUGCAGGUGCAAAGGCUCUGUUCUGGGAGAUGCUGACUGGGAGUGAGAGGGAGUGCCAGAUGCCAGGCCAAGGGCUAGUGGGCCUGGAGGAAUGGGAAGGUCAUCUUUUGGAAUCUGAGAAACAUUUUGAUGAGGCCAGAAUUAUGUGGACUCCUUUUCUUGAGGGAAAGAGUGAUGCUCUGAUCAUCGUCUGGACCUUUCUGUAUUUAGGGACCCUGGGUCUCCAGGGGUGUAAUGUGAGAGAUGGGCCUCACCUGGCUCCUCCUGGGGAAGGGGAAUGCUGCUUUGGGUAACUGGUUUUGGCGGGGGUUCAGAAGUUCUUCCUUGGUGAGAGAAGUGAUGGGGAUGGCACUGGAAGGGAAGUGGCAUAACUGUUGUUUCUGAUUCAGCUUGAAAAGGAGCUCAUUAGAGACCUGAGGCAGAGGCUGGGCCAGGCAGGAAAAACCUCCACACAUGCCCUAGUCUAGCUGCAGCCCUGAUGGAAGAGCAGACUUCUUAAGAGCACAGAUGCUGGCAUCAAGCAGGUGAUUCAAAUGAUGACUUUACUAAGCUGUGUGAUCUUGAGGAACCCCUUUAAGAUUCAGUUUCCUGAUCCAUAAAACGCAAGUCAUGGUACCUCAAUUCCACAUGAUCGUAGUGAGGACUGAGUGAAGUGAUAAUCAUUAAAGGACUUAGCCCAGUGGCCUAAUAAAUGGUAGGCACUCAAAAAGUGGUAGUUACAUAAUUGUGACAUACAAUAAUAGAUUGCAUUCAAAGUCCAUCACAUGGCCCACUUCCACGCAGAUGUUCCCAACGACCAUGCCUCUUUUCCCCACUGCCGCUGUUGUUACCAUAGAAGUACACGUUUCCAUUACUUUAUUCCAUGCUGUUUUGUCCUGUUUCUCUGUUCUGUUUUACGAAGCUAAGUGGUCUCUCCAGGUUUACUGUAUCCAGAGGACUAAAGUGUGGGAUCUACAGCUGUGGGUUUGUAUAGACCUGUUCUGUUAGUUUUGUGCUACCCAGGAGCUCCGUAAGUAAGAACUUGAAAGAAGCUCCCAAGGAAAAAAAAAGCAUCAAAAGGCUUCUGAGAAGAUAAAGGCCCUGGGUUUGCAGUGCAGUCUCUUUAAUCCAAUGUUGGUAGCUUAAAAAUAGAAGCUGCCAUUCAAAGAUAUUCUAGGUUGUGCCCCCUCUGGAUACCCCUUACUUUUUCACUUCAAAGGCUGAUGAAAUGCACCAAUAUGAAGUUCAGCACUUCCCAAACUUCAAUUAAGCACAUCUCCCCCGCUUUUUUGGUCAUAGUCAUCUGUCAUAAUUUGCUUAAUAAUUUAAAAAAAUUUAUUCACUUUUUAACUUAAAAUAUAAUUAAAAGGAAACUUGAAAUCACAUGGGUUUGAUAGCCUAGUUGUACUAUUCUGAUAGCCAUUAAAAGAUAGAUCCAUGCAAAUAAAAAGAACGUCUCUCCAUCUGAAAAUAUGUGCUGUGCACUCCGCAGUUAGGGAAAUAUGGACCAAGUAAAUGGGUAAACAGAGGAACUUAAUUCAUCCCUUACUUGGCAAACAAAGGGAAAUUAGGAUAAUCAGUCUUUAGCUUUGUUGGAAUUGUGGAUAAACUUAUUUUAGUGAAAAUUUUAAGGAUAAUAAGGUCUAAAGGCAAAGGCCCAAAUUAGUUAAAAUUUCAAAAUCUUACUAAGAUGUUGAUUUUUUAAAAAAGUCUGAACAUCUCUGCACUGACUCCACUAGCACAACUUUGGGUGUCUUUCUCCCUGACGGCAGGGCCCCUGCCCCUUUUCUCCCUGCAGUGUGUGAGGUCUUGGGUUGCUCAUGCCUGUCCUUCCCCUUCCUCAGCCUCCUUGCCUGCAUAUGCCUGGAACUGCUUUGUCCCCAUUUGGUCUCUGAGAAGAGCCCACCAUCACCACCCUAUCUCUCUAGAGCCUUCUUUUACCUUGAAAAACCUGAGCUGAGUGCCAAAGUCCCAGCCAGGGCAGGGCAUGCUGUUUCUUUUCCAACAGCUGGUUGGGCAGAUUUGGGACCACUGACCCCUAUUGCUAGACUUCCCUAGGACCUUCGAAAUGGGUUUUUGUAUUGGUUUAUUACAUUUUCUUACUUAAGAUUAAUAUGUACUAUCUAACUGGAAUCUGCUGCCAGGUGGAGACCACUGUCUUAUUUUAUUUUAUUUUUUAGCAAGACACGGUCGAAUUCAAAUGUCAUUGAAAGGACACCAAAGAUGCCUUCUGUGUUGAGCACAAUCCUUCAACAACCUUAGCAUUGAUUCUUGCAUAACUGUUAAUAAGUGACUGGCACCAUAUACUCUUUGCAAAAACGAUGAACACUGGUGAGUGGUAGGGAACUCUCCUGGCUGUGUCCUGGAGACUUCAAAGCAUUUCUUAGUUGGAAGCACUACACAUUCACUUUGUCCUGCUUGGAAUCUGGUCUCAGUGGGAACCAGAAUGUCCCAUAUUUCUCACUAGUAACCUAGUUUUCAUUUGCAGCUCAAACAAUUAGAAACAAAUGUCUGAAACAGGUUAUUUUCUUCUAAAGAGAAAUAUCGCAACACCAGGGACUACUUGCGCUCGCCCCACCCUCCAUGCCCAGGAGACGGAUUCAGUUCUGAGCUCUUCCAGGAGGAUGUGUUUGGCAUAAGGGAGGUCAGAACGUUUGGAAUCACGUUGGUAAAACCACCUGGACUCAAGUCAGCUUCAUUCUGUGUCCAUUCUGACUCUGCUCAGGGAGUUGGGCCAAUGACUCUGUGGUUUCUACAGCCUGACCCAAAUUCGAUGGACUGGGCAGAGUUCUCUGUUUCCUCUGAGCCAGAAGGGUCCCUUCAUAUGCCCCAAACUCUUUUUUUACAGACACCUUCUGCUCCUCUCCUAUGGAAAGGAUUAACCAUAUUUCACCUCUUCCCAGGAGUCCUCCUAAAUGCUAGCUAUUUCACCCAUUUCCCAUUUCAGGAUUAUUUCUGCCUCCUUAGAUGGAGGAUGCCUUAACCUUAAACUUCAGAUAAAUAAAUGAGUUACUUACUUGGUUCCACAGUCACACGGGUUCCUUUUCCAAAGAUGAGUUUAUCGGUGUCACAGCACUUGAGGACGUUCCAAAAACCUCAGCGCUGCUCCCACCUACCUUCUUCCCGUCAGCUUUAGGACUGGAGGAUCUUUAAGGCUCAGCUCCAUGAAAGAUGGCACUUGUUGCUUACCCAGCCGGUUCAUAGAUGGUUAAUCAUCUGCAGGUAGGGACAGGUUUGCUUUCGGAAGGCUGUUGUCUGAGGAGUAUGGAGGACCAUAUUUCCUAUGGCGGACCUUUCCAGCACAGUACACUUGAUGCAGUGCUCUGAACUGUUGCUUUCUAUUGUUUUACAUUGCUCUCACUUCCUAGACCCAUACUCAGCUCUCUGUGUUGGAAAGCUGGCACUGUCAAAGGGGUGGGUCUUGGCUCCAUGACUACUCCAGGGUUAAGGCCUUUACAGACACCAGUGCUGCUGCUUUAAAGGCAGAUAACGUGUGGCACAGCAAGAGGAGAAAGGGUGGCAUGAAGCACUGGGUGAUUUACAGAGCAGUCAGCUUUAGAAUGAGCAACUGUGGCCGGUGAUUGCCUACAAAAAAAUCAAUCUCUCUUCAAAUCCAUCCUCCCAAACUGCAAAGCAAAGCACUUGGGUAAAUCUCUCUAGAGGUUUGAAUUUAGAAAUUCCGUAUGAGGUGGCUCAUAUAACUCUCUUUUGCAAUAGAAUCAACAUGAAAACAAGACAAGAAUAGUUUUUAAGAAAGGCCUUUUUGUAUUCCCCAAAUGUGCUGUAAGAAAAUGUAGAAAUGCCAGUUUCACCCAAGGAAGAACAGCAGUGAGUGAGAGGUCAGCAGCUGUGGUCAUCUCCCUGGUCCAGUCAACUUCCUGCUAUCCCUUCCAGGCCCCAAAGCAGGGAGGGAAGCUGCUUGCUGUGUUUGUCUCCUGAGGCAUGGGACCCAGGGUGAGGAUAUCCCAGGGAAAUGGCACUUUUGCCCCUGCAGUUUUUGUACAGGUCUCUGUAGGUUUUGUAGCACUGUGCGUAUCCCCCAGUCACAGUGCUACAGAGCUUUACAAAAACUUCCCCUCGGUUUCACACUAUAUGGCCCCUGAGAAUCCCCAGAACCAGAUGUUUUCUCCAAGUCAAGCUCCAGCAAGAUCAAAGGGUCCUGACAGUUAGGUCAGGCCAAGCUGGCUCAGGUGCUUCUGUCUGGGGCUCUUCUGCCCCACUGGCUAGAUCUGCCUUGGGGUUUGUGACUAGAAUGGACUUUUAGAAAUAAUCACAUCCAUUCCCAUCUGUGCUU